rnacentral:rRNA from 1 species
CUACGUGCCAGCAGCCGCGGUAAUACGUAUGUCACGAGCGUUAUCCGGAUUUAUUGGGCGUAAAGCGCGUCUAGGUGGUUAUGUAAGUCUGAUGUGAAAAUGCAGGGCUCAACUCUGUAUUGCGUUGGAAACUGUAUAACUAGAGUACUGGAGAGGUAAGCGGAACUACAAGUGUAGAGGUGAAAUUCGUAGAUAUUUGUAGGAAUGCCGAUGGGGAAGCCAGCUUACUGGACAGAUACUGACGCUAAAGCGCGAAAGCGUGGGUAGCAAACAGGAUUAGAUACCCUGGUAGUCCACGCUGUAAACGAUGAUUACUAGGUGUUGGGGGUCGAACCUCAGCGCCCAAGCAAACGCGAUAAGUAAUCCGCCUGGGGAGUACGUACGCAAGUAUGAAACUCAAAGGAAUUGACGGGGACCCGCACAAGCGGUGGAGCAUGUGGUUUAAUUCGACGCAACGCGAGGAACCUUACCAGCGUUUGACAUC